rnacentral:rRNA from 1 species
UGCGUAGGCGGGGCAAUUAGUCAGUGGUGAAAUCCUGCGGCUUAACCGUAGAACUGCCAUUGAUACUGUUGCCCUUGAGUAUAGUUGAGAUGGGCGGAAUGUGUAAUGUAGCGGUGAAAUGCAUAGAGAUUACACAGAACACCAAUUGCGAAGGCAGCUCACUAAGCUAUAACUGACGCUGAGGCACGAAAGCAUGGGGAGCGAACAGGAUUAGAUACCCUGGUAGUCC